AGCAUUGAUCUCUCUCAUCAUCCGCUGUAUUGUUACUAUUAUUGUUGCAGUUAUCCCCUUGGCCCACUUUGUCAUAGGUGCUGAGUGCUUCAAUGACUGCCCUGUAAUGUUCUUCAUCCCUAUCUACCUGAUAGGGUUGGGAUGUUUUUAUGUAGUCCUGAUGUUACUGUCUACGUUUAUGGCCAUCAAAGACUGCCAAGAGUUCUGCUCAUCGGUCGUAAGGAUCAGUCUGGUCAUUCUAAUGUUCUGGAUCUUUGCUGGUAGUGGGGUUGUUUUCGCUGUAUUUCAAACGACAAGCUACAACCCGACCCUCAGCGACGGGAGCUCCAACCAGACCAUUGCCAACGAGAGCUACAACCAUACCUUCUGCAGUGGGAGCAACAACCAGUCCAUCACCAACCCAGAGUACUGCAACAAAACUCUAUACCUGUUUGCAUUCUCUACCUGUCUGAUAUGGAUCCUUGUGGUUGUUCUGUUAACGGUUGGCCUCAAGUUCUAUGGAUACAGCAGAAUUGGGAUGAUCUUUAAGUGCUUGGGAUUGUGGUUGUUAGGUCAUGACCAUAUUUAUUUGUGUAUUUAUUUGUGUUUCGAAGAGUCUACUAUACGACACAAUGGCGCUUUAGUUGUUGUUUAAUCUUUGUAUUACAUUUUUUGGGGGAUGAGAAAACAACUUCAGAGAAGCUGGAAGGACUAAAAGCAGAUAGAAAGUAUGUAGAAAUGAUAAUGGAUCUAUAUACCUUUAAAUCAUUUUGUCUUUAAUCGUCUUUUCAAGGCAUGUGUGGUUGAUUAUGCCUGAUUCAAAAUGAUUAGAGGAAAAAGUGUUUAUUUACAGUUGUGCUUUCAUUCUUUGCACUCUACCUUUUGAU